AUCUUUCUAGUAUAACCCAGUAUACGUGACUUCCAAUCACCCGGCCCUGGUUAAAAUCCAGGGAAAGAUA
rnacentral:tRNA from 1 species